rnacentral:rRNA from 1 species
GAUGAACGCUGGCGGCGUGCCUAACACAUGCAAGUCGAACGGAGAUUCCGGACGGAAGUUUUCGGAUGGAAGACUGUAAUUCUUAGUGGCGGACGGGUGAGUAACGCGUGGGCAACCUGCCCUAUACCGGGGGAUAGCAGCUGGAAACGGCUGGUAAGACCGCAUAAGUCGGCGAGACCGCAUGGUUUUGUCGGGAAAUGAGCAAUCAGGUAUAGGAUGGGCCCGCGUCCGAUUAGCCAGUUGGCAGGGUAAAAGCCUACCAAAGCAACGAUCGGUAGCCGGACUGAGAGGUCGGGCGGCCACAUUGGGGCUGGGACACGGCCCAAACUCCUACGGGAGGCAGCAGUGGGGGAUAUUGCAAAAUGGAGGAAGCUCUGAUGCAGCGACGCCGCGUGAGUGAAGAAGUAUUGCGGUAUGUAAAGCACUAUCAGCAGGGAAGAUGAUGACGGUACCUAACGAAGAAGCCCCGGCUAACUACGUG